rnacentral:misc_RNA from 1 species
GAUUGGAUAGUUGCUUAGGGAAACGUGGAGGUUCUAUUACGUGAGUAAUACGACCCAUUCACUUAGUACGGCUUGCCCUAUCCGGGUGCGAUUUGCUAGUUCUGAAAAGGACGACACAACCCUCUGAGAUAGAAAGCUAAUGGCGAACAAGUAUCUACUACCCCGCAAGGGACGAUUAGAAGCUUAAUAGCCUCCGCACAUCCUACGGGAUAAACUUGCUGCAUCAGUAAGAGAAUAUUUAGAAGCGAGCAGGCAGAAGGUUAAUAAACCUUGCUACCUACAGGUAGAAAAGGAAUCCUGUUCGGAACUCCAGUUCAGGACCCGCCAUCAUCAUUAAUACGGUGAUGUUACUGCUUGCCUAUAAGUAUUCUUCUUUCUAAUGUAACCGUCAGCCGGCCUAUAAUAUUUAAUAUGAACAAAACAAAUUUAAACCAAAAAGGGAUAAAUCUGCUGUCUCUAUUAAGUACUAAGUACGUGGAGGUUUCUAAGAUGAUACCGCUUUCCGAUAAACUCGGAACUACACUAUUCAAACCAUUGGGAUACAAUAACAUGUUAUCUCAUGGUAGAAUAGGUAGAUUGGCAAGUGGGAUAAGAAGAACGAAUUUCUUUAUAAGCUUUACACUGAACAUGUGGAGAACACACGGGACGACCUUUACCAUAAAAUGGUUGAAAGGAUGCUCCGUGGCUAUCCAAAAAUGUCUAGGUAAAGAUAUAUUGAAAUCUCUAAGAGUCUUGACACCAGAUCUCCCUUUGAAUGGGUUGUCACGUGGGCUUCCAAGAAUUAUACCUGUCGAAGACAGAGUAAAAAUUCGAAGAGGACACGUACCAACAAUCCGAUUCUGGCUCGGGUUAUUUAACCUUUACCGGGUGCUAAAAGCGCCCAGCGAGCUGAAAUUGGAGACCAUUACUAAUAAAUUUACUGGGGAUAGAGAUGGGUUACGAGCUUUGAUGCGACUUGCAUUGAAGUUCAACCCUUUUGUCGAAUUUAACAAAUUAGACAAAAAGUCUCUGGCUCCCACUAAGUUUAUUAUGUCUAGAUCGGCUUCGCCGUCUAACAAAGUGUCUUGGUUUGGGAUCUUAACAGAUACCCGACUCCUUAGAGAAGGAUCUCCCAGAUUAUGGGAAAACAUCCAAGCUUACCUAACCANNNNNNNNNNNNNNNNNNNNNNNNNNNNNNNNNNNNNNNNNNNNNNNNNNNNNNNNNNNNNNNNNNNNNNNNNNNNNNNNNNNNNNNNNNNNNNNNNNNNNNNNNNNNNGUCUCGAAAUCGGGACAAGUUCUUACUCAAGUUGACUCAAUGAGAUCGAAAGAUUCCAUUAGAGGUCACGGUAUUGGUCCUGGACUUGGUCUCUCGCAAUUCGCGCUCAAAGAAGAAGCGGCUGGAAAAAUCCGGCUCUUCGCUUUGAUGGAUUCAAUAACACAAAGUGUUAUGAGUCCUCUCCAUGAUUACAUGUUCGCCAUCUUAAGGAAAAUUCCUAAUGAUGGGACAUUUGAUCAAGAGGCGUCAAUUGCUAGAUCCCAAGAAAAGGCCGUUACUGCGGGCAAGGCAUUCAGUUAUGAUCUGACUGCUGCUACGGAUCGACUACCUGUGAUCCUUACUGCGUUCAUACUCUCCACAAUCGUGGGGAUUAGAACGUUUGGGGGUCUUUGGAGGUCAAUUUUGGUCAAAAGACCUUUUGGUUUCAACAGCACUGUUGCUGAGAAAUUGAAAGUCUCUGACGGUCCGUACUUCUACGAGGUAGGGCAACCUAUGGGUGCUCUAUCUUCUUGGCCCGGUCUUGCCUUAACGCAUCACUGGAUUGUCCAAGUUGCCGCUUUUAGAGUUACAAAUUCUAAGAGUUGGAACACCGAGUAUGAAAUACUUGGUGAUGAUAUCGUGAUAUUCAAUGAGCUUAUUGCUCAAGAAUAUCUAAAUAUCAUGGCUGUAAUCGGGUGUGAGAUUAAUUUAAACAAAUCAAUCUCCUCCCGACACCGUCCCGUUUUCGAAUUCGCAAAACGAACCUGUUGGAGCUUUGCAAUAGUAAGUGGAAUCUCCCUCGCUCAAAUAAGAGCGGGUUGGAGAAUCGGGGGUCGUGUAGCUAAUGCUCUGCAAUUUGCAAGAGCAGGACUACUAGAACCCGGUGAAUCCCUGUUGCAAGCUAUCCUUUCUAGAAAUACCUUUUCAAAAGGUAGAGUAUUGCCAGGUUACAAGACGGAGUCAGUAACCUCACAAAAGGCUCUAGCCUUAGGGGUACUGGCGUUGUUAGGGGAAAGAUUCCAAUCUGGAAUCAUCCCGCUAAGAACGGUAAUGCACGCGAUCAUAGAUCCUAUU